GGAUACCUGGCGCGCCGGAUAUCAUAUCCUCCUGCUAGCCAGCCCAGGUACACACGUGCCAGUGCUGACACGUGAUCGAUUAUUAAUAUAAAUGUACAACGAAGGACGUAUGUUACAUUAAAUCAAUUAGCUACGGAAAACCGAAUAGAUAAAAAUUACAACAAGUAUUUACAAUACCAUUAGGAAGGUAACGUAUAUAAGUGAUACGAUUCGACUGUGUUCCGUAUUGUGCUGACAAAGUACACGAUAUGAAGCCCUCCAUUAUAUUGAUUCUGUUCGGGUUAUUUAGUGGAGUUCUCUGUGACUUCUGGUUUACUGGGUUGACACCGGUAGUGAGGCUGGCACCGUCCUUAAGGCAGAGGCAGAUAAUGCGUAGUAUGACGUCAACAGAGAGUGCAUGGCAUGAGCAUGACGUCAACUGAAGAGACACGCUACGCUAGUUCAUGUGUGACUAAUAAACAUCUACACUAA